rnacentral:rRNA from 1 species
CCUACGGGUGGCAGCAGUCGAGACUCAUUCACAAUGGGGGAAACCCUGAUGGUGCGACGCCGCGUGGGGGAAUGAAGGUCUUCGGAUUGUAAACCCCUGUCAUGUGGGAGCAAAUUAAAAAGAUAGUACCACAAGAGGAAGAGACGGCUAACUCUGUGCCAGCCGCCGCGGUAAUACAGAGGUCUCAAGCGUUGUUCGGAAUCACUGGGCGUAAGGCGUGCGUAGGCUGUUUCGUAAGUCGUGUGUGAAAGGCGCGGGCUCAACCCGCGGACGGCACAUGAUACUGCGAGACUAGAGUAAUGGAGGGGGAACCGGAAUUCUCGGUGUAGCAGUGAAAUGCGUAGAUAUCGAGAGGAACACUCGUGGCGAAGGCGGGUUCCUGGACAUUAACUGACGCUGAGGCACGAAGGCCAGGGGAGCGAAAGGGAUUAGAUACCCGUGUAGUC